CCUACGGGAGGCAGCAGUGAGGAAUAUUGGUCAAUGGACGCAAGUCUGAACCAGCCAUGCAGCGUGCAGGAUGACGGCUCUAUGAGUUGUAAACUGCUUUUGUAUGAGGAUAAACCACGGUAUGCGUACCCGCUUGUAAGUAUCGUACGAAUAAGGAUCGGCUAACUCCGUGCCAGCAGCCGCGGUAAUACGGAGGAUCCGAGCGUUAUCCGGAUUUAUUGGGUUUAAAGGGUGCGUAGGUGGUUUGAUAAGUUAGAGGUGAAAGGUCGGGGCUCAACCCCGAAACUGCAGCUGAUACUGUUGGUCUAGAGAAUAGUUGCGGUAGGCGGAAUGUAUGGUGUAGCGGUGAAAUGCUUAGAGAUCAUACAGAACACCGAUUGCGAAGGCAGCUUACCAAACUAUAUCUGACGUUGAGGCACGAAAGCGUGGGUAUCAAACAGGAUUAGAUACACGGGUAGUC
rnacentral:rRNA from 1 species